rnacentral:rRNA from 1 species
AUUGAACGCUGGCGGCAGGCUUAACACAUGCAAGUCGAGCGGAGAUGAGGUGCUUGCACCUUAUCUUAGCGGCGGACGGGUGAGUAAUGCUUAGGAAUCUGCCUAUUAGUGGGGGACAACAUUCCGAAAGGAAUGCUAAUACCGCAUACGCCCUACGGGGGAAAGCAGGGGAUCUUCGGACCUUGCGCUAAUAGAUGAGCCUAAGUCGGAUUAGCUAGUUGGUGGGGUAAAGGCCUACCAAGGCGACGAUCUGUAGCGGGUCUGAGAGGAUGAUCCGCCACACUGGGACUGAGACACGGCCCAGACUCGUACGGGAGGCAGCAGUGGGGAAUAUUGGACAAUGGGCGGAAGCCUGAUCCAGCCAUGCCGCGUGUGUGAAGAAGGCCUUUUGGUUGUAAAGCACUUUUGUCCGGAAAGAAAAGCAUUCGGCUAAUAACCGGGUGUUAUGACGGUACCGGAAGAAUAAGCACCGGCUAACUUCGUGCCAGCCGCCGCGGUAAUAC